ACUAGGAUGGCCUAGUGGUUUGAGCACUGGACUAGGACUCAGGAGACCAGGGUUCAACCCCCAGCUUGGAA